AUGUAAAAGGAGUUCAGAGUACGUGAAACCGUUCAGGGGUAAACCUGAGAAACCCAAAAGAUCGAUCGGGGAGAUUCAUCGUUCAGCGACUUGUCGGCUUGCGUGUGACUCGCGAUGUCGGUGGCUUCGGUCGCUGGCACGCGGUCGCUGCGUCAUGCCCGGCGUCGCCGUCGUGCACUUCUCCCCUAGUAGGACGUCGCGACCCGUUGGGCGUCGGCCAACGGCCCGGUCGGUUGACCGUGGCGCAGGCUCUCACGAGUACUCGCGCCACGGACCGCUGGUGUUUCCCGGCCCGACUGCCCGACGGUAGAGAUUUUUGUCAAUAAGGUAUUGGGCCGCGUUCUAAGCGCGUCUCGGCUCGUCGACAGGCUGGCCUCGCUCGGAUUUACGGACCUGGUGCCGUUGCCGGGUGCUUGGCUGGCCGUUAAGUCGGCGAUGUCCUCGGACUGGCUCCUUGAUUACCUGUCGGCGACGCUACUGCUUUGGGUACUUUCAGGACCCGUCUUGAAACACGGACCAAGGGAGUCUAA
rnacentral:rRNA from 1 species